CGUGAAGCUGGAUUCGCUAGUAAUCGCGCAUCAGCCAUGGCGCGGUGAAUACGUUCCCGGGCCUUGUACACACCGCCCGUCAAGCCAUGGGAGCCGGGAGCGCUUGAAGUGCGUCGCCGCGAGGCGCGCCCUAGAGCGAGACCGGUGACUGGGGCUAAGUCGUAACAAGGUAGC
rnacentral:rRNA from 1 species